rnacentral:rRNA from 1 species
UACGUAGGCAGCGAGCGUUGUUCGGAAUUACUGGGCGUAAAGAGUGUGUAGGCGGUGCUCUAAGUUCGGUGUGAAAUCUCCCGGCUUAACUGGGAGGUGCGCCGGAAACUGGAGUGCUCGAGCGUGGGAUGGGUAAGUGGAAUUCCUGGUGUAGCGGUGAAAUGCGUAGAUAUCAGGAGGAACACCGGUGGUGUAGACGGCUUACUGGACCAUAACUGACGCUGAGACACGAAAGCGUGGGUAGCAAACAGG